rnacentral:rRNA from 1 species
UACAGAGACCUCAAGCGUUAUCCGGAAUCAUUGGGCGUAAAGCGUACCGAUAGGUGGUUGUAUAAGUCAGAAGUGAAAUCUCCGAGCUCAACUCGGAAUCUGUCUUUUGAAACUAUACAACUAGAGGGGCAAAGAGGAAGCUGGAACGAACGGUGUAGUAGUGAAAUGCGUUGAUAUCGUUCGGAACACCAAUAGCGUAGGCAGGCUUCUGGGUGCCACCUGACACUGCUAGGACGAAAGCGUGGGGAGCGAAUGGG